AUUGAACGCUGGCGGCAGGCCUAACACAUGCAAGUCGAACGAGUGGCGGACGGGCGCGUAAUGUCUGGGAAACUGCCCGAUGGAGGGGGAUAACUACUGGAAACGGUAGCUAAUACCGCAUACCAUCGGAUGUGCCCAGAUGGGUUUAGCUAGUAGGUGGGGUAACGGUUCACCUAGGCGCAGCUCCCUAGCUGGUCUGAGAGGAUGACCGGCCAAACGGGAACUGAGACACGGGCCAGACUCCUACGGGAGGCAGCAGUGGGGAAUAUUGCACAUGGGCGAAAGCCUGAUGCAGCCAUGCCGCGUGGAUGAAGAAGGCCUUCGGGUUGUAAAGUACUUUCAGCGAGGAGGCGUUACUCGAAGAAGAAGCACCGGCUAACUCCGUGCUAGCAGCCGCGGUAAUAC
rnacentral:rRNA from 1 species